CACAUACUGCCAUAAGAAAACAAAGUUUGAAAAGCCAGUUCCCUUCGGCUUCCUGUUUGGACAUCCAUGUCACAGGAAUACGUGCAGAGCUCGAAUCAGGGUGGAUUGCUAGAACAAGAUUCAGCAAGAAACAGUGCUGCUCUGAACGGCAGCAGAGGUGAGGACUAACCAACUGACCUGAUCCUGGAUGAGGACACCCAGCAGCAGAAGUGAGCAAUCAAACCUUGUAACUAUUGGCAUUAAGUCCAACAGUGCCCUCGAACUUCUGCUUUGUGGUCUGCAGCAGCAGAAACAAUUCCAGCAGCAGGAGCAGAGAAAUACCUUAACUGUUGAAAGCAAAAGCUCCAAAGAUUUCAGACUCCGGUGGAAGAACAAUGAAGAAUGCACAACUCAACACAAAGUCUGAGGUCAACAGCAGCUCCUGCCUGGGAACUCCGCUGAAGAAGAGAACAGGCACUACCAUCACCACUGCUGGAGAGAGAGCACAGGUGACUGUGCCACCAGCGCGUGAGGGGGGAGACGAUUUCAUUGACUAGCAGUUUGAUCAGCAAUAUUCUUCCCAACAGUUCUGAGGGGUGAACACUUUCACUGUUUUUUGUUGUUGUUGUUGUUGUUGUUGUUUGUUUUUGUUUUCAUAGACGGAGGAACUAAAGCUCAGAGGGAUUCUGUGAGUUCCCAGGUCACACUGUUUAACUAAAGAUCCCAAUCUGUCUCUAGCAAAUCCUCAACUGCCUCUCUGGGUCACUGAGGGGACCCCAGUCUAAAGUGGUAAACAACUCCUUGCUAAGUGAAUUAGCAGAGCGAGUGUUCAGCUAUACCCAGCUUGCCUCCCUGUGGGUGCCAAGCAAGCAUGACCCAGCCUUGCAGCUCCCUCACAAUGGGAACUCUGUGCCAACAAGGGAAGAAAUGGCAAGUCUGUACCUGAGGCACAUGUGAGGCUUGCCCUGAGCUUAAUUCCCAUGAAACUUUAUCUUAUGGGAUUCAAAGAAAAACCAAAGGAAAUUACAAAACCUUUCCAAGGCUCUAAGCUUCAGAGCCUUUAUGCCAAAGGCCCAUUUCACUCCUUCCUUCCUCCUGCAUGGGUAGACCUCAUUCGUAGAAGGCCACUGUCAUCCUGGCGAUGUGGACCCUGGUCUUCAGGCCUUUCCUUACCAGUGAUAACAGGACUGAAGGGCUAUCUGGGGCCACCAACCCCCUGAGACAGCUGUUCCACCUAGAGAAGCACUCUUCAGGCCUGGCUUUGGGCCCGUGGUCACCAUGGCGAGGCUGGAAUAGAGCCUCUUAGGCCCCAAAGUUGUCCAAACCAAUAAAAAAGUCAAUUUUCAAGUAGAGGCAACUCAAUUAUUCAUAGACUAAUGGUUCACUUUGUAGAUUUUCCUUUUUUUUCGCCUCUUUGCUACCCGUCUCUUUGCCAGCUGCCUUUGGCUCCCCUCCCUGAAACACUGGAGAGGAGGUAGGCAGGAGAAGACAGAUCGAUCAGUGUUGGAGCCUGUUAGGAAUCAUAGCUGGUUUAAGAACAGGUUGGGUGGAUCUUUUAUAUUCUUGCUAAUCCCAUUCCCACUUACCAUGUGCAGUAGAUAUCCAUGUUCAGUUCUCUGAGCCCCUCUGAUUUGCUAAUUCUUGCCAGGAGAAGAAACAGAAAGAAAAAAGUGCACUCACCCAGAGCCAGCAGAGUCCCAGGCUGAGACUAGUUGGGUUGAGAAAGCAGCUUCACCCGACAUCCUGUUCUAUGGGCCUGGGGCCCCCGUGUAUAUUUAUUUACUUGGCAUCUUUCAAAAGAUCAUCUCUAUGGUAAAUGGCAGAAACUGGGUUUUGAGAAAAGCAGAACUCUUGGGUUUCCUUGUUUAAACAGUUAUGUUCCCAAGUCAAACGAAAUAUGCAAACUACUUAAAAAUAUAAUUCACAUACUAUAGCAGUGGUAUGCUCUUUCCCAG